CGGCUGUAUCCACUUAUCCAGGCCUUGCAUCCGACUCUUGCGGGAAAGAUUACAGGCAUGCUGCUGGAGAUUGACAACUCUGAACUACUGCACAUGCUCGAGUCUCCAGAGUCCCUGCACUCCAAGGUUGAAGAGGCUGUAGCGGUGCUUCAAGCUCAUCAAGCCAAGGAACUGUCGGCAAAGUGAGGGAGCUUGUAAGGCAGGCAUGCUCACUGAAGGUCUGUGAGGGUUGUUCCAGAGAACAAGGAAAAGAAAACAGCACUUAAGAGUCAUGCUAU